UAGUGGCAGACGGGUGAGUAACGCGUGGGAAGCUACCUUGUGGUAGGGGACAACAGUUGGAAACGACUGCUAAUACCCUAUGAGCCCUAUGGGGGAAAGAUUUAUCGCCAUGAGAUGUGCCCGCGUUAGAUUAGCUAGUUGGUAAGGUAAUGGCUUACCAAGGCGACGAUCUAUAGCUGGUCUGAGAGGAUGAUCAGCCACACUGGGACUGAGACACGGCCCAGACUCCUACGGGAGGCAGCAGUGGGGAAUAUUGGACAAUGGGGGCAACCCUGAUCCAGCCAUGCCGCGUGUGUGAUGACGGCCUUAGGGUUGUAAAGCACUUUCAGCAGUGAAGAUAAUGACAUUAACUGCAGAAGAAGCCCCGGCUAACUUCGUGCCAGCAGCCGCGGUAAUACGAAGGGGGCUAGCGUUGUUCGGAAUCACUGGGCGUAAAGAGUACGUAGGCGGACUGAUAAGUUAGGGGUGAAAUCCCAAGGCUCAACCUUGGAACUGCCUUUGAUACUGUCAGUCUUGAGAUCGAGAGAGGUGAGUGGAACUCCGAGUGUAGAGGUGAAAUUCGUAGAUAUUCGGAAGAACACCAGUGGCGAAGGCGGCUCACUGGCUCGAUACUGACGCUGAGGUACGAAAGCGUGGGGAGCGGACAGGAUUAGAGACCCUGGUAGUCCACGCCGUACACGAUGAAUGCUAGUUGUCAGGUAGCUUGCUAUUUGGUGACGCAGCUACGCAUUAAGCAUUCCGCCUGGGGAGUACGGUCGCAAGAUUAAAACUC
rnacentral:rRNA from 1 species